rnacentral:rRNA from 1 species
GACGAACGCUGGCGGCGUGCCUAAUACAUGCAAGUAGAACGCACAGUUUAUACCGUAGCUUGCUACACCAUAAACUGUGAGUUGCGAACGGGUGAGUAACGCGUAGGUAACCUGCCUGGUAGCGGGGGAUAACUAUUGGAAACGAUAGCUAAUACCGCAUAAUAUUGAUUAUUGCAUGAUAAUUGAUUGAAAUAUGCUAUUGCAUCACUACCAGAUGGACCUGCGUUGUAUUAGCUAGUAGGUGAGGUAACGGCUCACCUAGGCGACGAUACAUAGCCGACCUGAGAGGGUGGUCGGCCACACUGGGACUGAGACACGGCCCAGACUCCUACGGGAGGCAGCAGUAGGGAAUCUUCGGCAAUGGACGAAAGUCUGACCGAGCAACGCCGCGUGAGUGAAGAAGGUUUUCGGAUCGUAAAGCUCUGUUGUAAGAGAAGAACGGGUGUGAGAGUGGAAAGUUCACACUGUGACGGUAUCUUACCAGAAAGGGACGGCUAACUACGUG